CCUACGGGUGGCAGCAGUAGGGAAUAUUGCUCAAUGGGGGAAACCCUGAAGCAGCAACGCCGCGUGGAGGAUGAAGGUUUUCGGAUUGUAAACUCCUUUUGUUAGAGAAGAUAAUGACGGUCUCUAACGAAUAAGCCCCGGCUAACUCCGUGCCAGCAGCCGCGGUAAUACGGAGGGUGCAAGCGUUACUCGGAAUCACUGGGCGUAAAGAGCGCGUAGGCGGGAUAGCAAGUCAGAUGUGAAAUCCUAGGGCUUAACCAUAGAACUGCAUUUGAAACUGUUAUUCUAGAGUAUGGGAGAGGUAGGUGGAAUUCUUGGUGUAGGGGUAAAAUCCGUAGAGAUCAAGAGGAAUACUCAUUGCGAAGGCGACCUGCUAGAACAUAACUGACGCUGAUGCGCGAAAGCGUGGGGAGCAAACAGGAUUAGAUACCCCGGUAGUC
rnacentral:rRNA from 1 species